rnacentral:lncRNA from 1 species
UGAACUUGGUGUAUGGUUUAUGGUGUUUGGUUUACGGUUCAUGAACUUGUAUGAUUUAUGGUUCGUGAACUUGGGUAUAGUUUAUGGAUUUGGUUUAUGGUUUAUGAAUUUGGUAUAUGAACUUAGUUUAUGGACUUAGUUCAUAGUUCAUGAACUUGGUUCACGACUUAUAGGGUUUGAUGUAUAGUUCAUGAGAUUUGGUUCAUGAACUUGGGUAUGGUUUAUGAGAUAUAGUUUAUGGUUCAUGAGAUUUGGUUUAUGAACUUGGGUAUGGUUCAUUAAUUUGGUGUAUGGUUUAUGGGAUUUGGUUUAUAGUUCAUGAACUUGGUGUAUAGUUCAUGAGGUUUGGUUUGUGAUUCAUGAACUUGGUACAUGGUUCAUGCGAUUUGAGUCAUGAACUUGUUGUAUGGUUCAUGAGAUUUGGACCGUGAAUUUGGUUCAAGGUUCAUGAGAUUUGGUUCAUGAACUUUGGUUCAUGAGUUGAAGUUGGAAGUGGGUUUGCGUUUUAUUCGUGGCUCGGAUUAGAUUUGAGUUUGUGUUUGGAUUUGGGUUUGGAUUUAAAUUUUGUAGGUUUUGAGCUUUUAUAGUGGACUAGAUUGGAUUUGGGUUUUUAUUGGUUUAGAUUUUGGUUUUGGGCUUUUAUAGUGGACUUGAUUGGAUUUGGAUUCUUAUUGGCUUAGGGUUUGGUUUUGGGCUUUUAUGGUGGACUUAAUUGGAUUUGGGUUUUAUGGGUUUAGGUUUUGGUUUUGGACUUUUAUGAUGGACUUAAUUCGAUUUGGGUUCUUAUUGGUUUAGAUUUUGGUUUUGGGUUUUUAUGAUGGACUUGAUUGGAUUUGGGUUCUUAUAGGUUUAGAUUUUGGUUUUGAGUUUUUAUGGUGGACUUGAUUGGAUUUGGGUUCUUACAGAUUUAGGCUUUGGUUUUGGGCUUUUAUGGUGGACUUGGGUUGGAUUUGGUUUUUAUUGAUUUAGGUUUUGAUUUUGGGCUUUUAUGGUGGACUUGGGUUGUAUUUAUUUUUGUUUGGAAUUAAGGUCCCAAUAAGACUUUUUUAGACUUAUCAAAAUUUGAAUUUGUGAUCCGAAGAAGUUCCUUUUU